UACGUAGGUGGCAAGCGUUGUCCGGAAUUAUUGGGCGUAAAGCGCGCGCAGGCGGCUUCUUAAGUCUGAUGUGAAAUCUCGGGGGCUCAACCCCGAGCGGCCAUUGGAAACUGGGAAGCUUGAGUACAGAAGAGGAGAGUGGAAUUCCACGUGUAGCGGUGAAAUGCGUAGAUAUGUGGAGGAACACCAGUGGCGAAGGCGACUCUCUGGUCUGUAACUGACGCUGAGGCGCGAAAGCGUGGGGAGCAAACAGG
rnacentral:rRNA from 1 species